rnacentral:rRNA from 1 species
GAUGAACGCUGGCGGCGUGCCUAAUACAUGCAAGUCGAGCGAAUAGAUGAGGAGCUUGCUCCUCUGACGUUAGCGGCGGACGGGUGAGUAACACGUGGAUAACCUACCUAUAAGACUGGGAUAACUUCGGGAAACCGGAGCUAAUACCGGAUAAUAUAUUGAACCGCAUGGUUCAAUAGUGAAAGACGGUUUUGCUGUCACUUAUAGAUGGAUCCGCGCCGCAUUAGCUAGUUGGUAAGGUAACGGCUUACCAAGGCAACGAUGCGUAGCCGACCUGAGAGGGUGAUCGGCCACACUGGAACUGAGGCACGGUCCAGACUCCUACGGGAGGCAGCAGUAGGGAAUCUUCCGCAAUGGGCGAAAGCCUGACGGAGCAACGCCGCGUGAGUGAUGAAGGUCUUCGGAUCGUAAAACUCUGUUAUUAGGGAAGAACAAAUGUGUAAGUAACUAUGCACGUCUUGACGGUACCUAAUCAGAAUGCCACGGCUAACUACGUG